rnacentral:rRNA from 1 species
CCUACUGGUGGCAGCAGUGAGGAAUAUUGGUCAAUGGACGCAAGUCUGAACCAGCCACGCCGCGUGCAGGAUGACGGCUCUCUGUUUUGUAAACUUCUUUUGUACGAGGGUAAACUGCGAUACGCGUAUCUUUCUGCACGUAUCUUACGAGUAAGGAUCGGCUAACUCCGUGCCAGCAGCCGCGGUAAUACGGAGGAUUCAAGCGUUAUCCGGUUGUAUUGGGUUUAAAGGGUGCGUAGGCGGUUGGGUAAGUUAGAUGUGAAAGCCCGGGGCUCAACUUCGGAAUUGCCUCUGAUACUGUUCGGCUAGAGAGUAGUUGAGGUAGGCGGAAUGUAUGGUGUAGCGGUGAAAUGCUUAGAGAUCAGACAGAACACCGAUUGCGAAGGCAGCUUACUAAGCUGCGACUGACGUUGAGGCACGAAAGCGUGGGGAGCAAACAGGAUUAGAUACCCGGGUAGUC